rnacentral:lncRNA from 1 species
AUGAUCGAGGAGCGAAACAUGUCUCCAAUCGAUCUCCAUCGUGUGCUCUUCAGCCACGAUCGAGGAGCAGAAUGCAUCUCCAAUCGAUCUCCAUCGUGCGCUCCUUGGUCACGGUCGAGGUGCGGUAUGCAUCUUCAUGUGGUUCUCCAUCGUGUGCUCUUCGGCCAUGGAUAAGGAGCAGAAUGCAUCUCUAAUUAGUCUCCAUCAUGCGCUCUUCGAUCAUGAUUGAGGAGUGGUAUGCAUCUCCAUGUGAUUCUCCAUCGUGCGCUCCUCGACCAUGAUCGAGAAGUGGAGCGUGUCUCCAAUCGAUCUCCAUCAUGCACUUUUUGACCA